AUACGGAGGGUGCAACGCGUUAAUCGGAAUCACUGGGCGUAAAGCGCACGUAGGCUGUUUGGUAAGUCAGGGGUGAAAUCCCGCAGCUCAACUGCGGAAUUGCUCUUGAUACUGCUGGACUUGAGUUCGGGAGAGGGUGGCGGAAUUCCAGGUGUAGGAGUGAAAUCCGUAGAUAUCUGGAGGAACAUCAGUGGCGAAGGCGGCCACCUGGACCGAUACUGACGCUGAGGUGCGAAAGCGUGGGGAGC
rnacentral:rRNA from 1 species